rnacentral:rRNA from 1 species
AUUGUACUGCUGCAGCAGAGCAUAGUUAGCACUACUUAGCUGGCCACGUACUACACUACAUAGCAUUAUGUCUACAUGGCACGCCUGCAUACUACUACAUAGCACAGCAUGCAUAUGGUACUUAGCACUACGUACUUACUGUAGCUAUGUUACUAGCAGCACAGAGCACUCAUCGUACUGCUGGCCACAUGCACAUGCCAUGUCUGUGUCCUGUACUGUACUCCUGUAUGUGCAUACUUACUGUACUGUGUAGUAUAGCUAUAUACCUAGAGUACGGGCACUACUGUCUACUAAGCUGUGGGCUUUAAGCAGCCCUAGUAGUAUCAUCUGUGCUCUCUACAUUAGCUACAGCUAUCACUUAGCUAGGCAGCUAGCCAAUACGGUAUAGCUACAUGCACUCAGCACACGUAGCUACUACGAGUACACUGCUUCCUAGCAUGUCCCAUAUACAUUGCUGCUGGCAUGAUGUGUAUGCUGCAGUGAUAGUACGUAGCGGUAUCCCUCUAGCUGAUAGCUAGAUGUAUUAGUCAUCUACUUGCUCAUUUUUUUUUUUUUUUUUUUUUUUUUUUAUUGUGUAGUAGCUGCCUGUAUGUACUACUCAGUCUACACCACAUGUCUGCUAUGCUGUACGUGCUGUGCUGUGUAGGUAACGCCCACGUAUGAUCUAUGGCCACGUACUCUCUUACAUGUCCCUAUGUACGUAUGUACGGUGUAGCUAAUAGGGUACCGUAGAGGGCUCACUUCCGUGUCGUCUCUCUCGGUAGCAUGAUAGCGUCAGUGCCAUAGAUGAUGUCCUCAUCCGUAGUGAUCCCGUUGAUGGGUUGUCCACGUGGUAACAUAGUGGUUACUCUCUACUACGCAGUGCUCCUACUAUGUAUUGGCACCAGUACGCGAGGGUACUUAGCUAUGCAUUACCUAGGAAAAAAAAAAAAAAAAAA